GAUGAACGCUAGCGGCAGGCUUAAUACAUGCAAGUCGAGGGGGAUCAGUUGGGUAGCAAUACCUGGCUGUGAGACCGGCAAACGGGUGAGGAACACGUACGCAACUUUCCCAAAACUGGUGAAUAGCCCUCCGAAAGGAGGAUUAAUACACCGUAACAUAACGAAAUGGCAUCAUUUUGUUAUUAUAGCAGCAAUGCGGUUUUGGAUAGGCGUGCGCCUGAUUAGGUAGUUGGCGGGGUAACGGCCCACCAAGCCUACGAUCAGUAACUGGUGUGAGAGCACGACCAGUCACACGGGCACUGAGACACGGGCCCGACUCCUACGGGAGGCAGCAGUAAGGAAUAUUGGUCAAUGGACGAAAGUCUGAACCAGCCAUGCCGCGUGGAGGAUGAAGGUCCUCUGGAUUGUAAACUUCUUUUAUAUGGGACGAAAAAAGGGCUUUCUAGCUCGUCUGACGGUACCAUAUGAAUAAGCACCGGCUAACUCCGUGCCAGCAGCCGCGGUAAA
rnacentral:rRNA from 1 species